rnacentral:misc_RNA from 1 species
ACCACCGAACUAAGGAAAACAUGCAAUUAUCAAGUAAGCAUUGGAAAAAUGCAGUUCUACUGAAGCACAAGGAUAAUGCCACAACCUGUUCAAUUAGAUCUGUUCUACUAAGACAUAAAAUUAAGGGCUCCACAACACUAGCCCGAAUUCAUAUCAAUUAUAGGACAGAAAAAAAUAAUUGUGCAAGUAUAAGGACUAUGUAGUAUUCACCAUAAAAAUUAUAGCAUACUUGAUAAAACUUACAGCAAUAUCAUUAUCAAUGG